UACGGAAGGCAGCAGUGGGGAAUAUUGCACAAUGGGCGAAAGCCUGAUGCAGCUAUGCCGCGUGUAUGAAGAAGGCCUUAGGGUUGUAAAGUACUUUCAUCGGGGAGGAAAAAACAAAACUAAUAAUUUUAUUUCUUGACGUUACCCGAAAAAGAAGCACCGGCUAACUCCGUGCCAGCAGCCGCGGUAAUACGGAGGGUGCUAGCGUUAAUCAGAAUUACUGGGCGUAAAGAGCACGUAGGUGGUUUUUUUAAAGUCAGAUGUGAAAUCCCUGGGCUUAACCUAGGAACUGCAUUUUGAAACUGAAAUACUAGAGUAUCGUAGAGGGAGGUAGAAUUCUAGGUGUAGCGGUGAAAUGCGUAGAUAUCUGGAGGAAUACCUGUGGCGAAAGCGGCCUCUAAACGAAUACUGACACUGAGGUGCGAAAGCGUGGGGAGCAAACAGGGAUUAGAUACC
rnacentral:rRNA from 1 species